rnacentral:tRNA from 1 species
ACUCAGUUAGCUCAGAUGGUAAGAGCGCGACAACGGAGAAGUCGAGGAUGUAGGUUCAAGUCCUGCAUGUGGUG